GAAACGAAAUCAACACGGUGCGAGAGGUGAUUAUGACGUGGACAAUAUAGCCUAUGAUCCAAAAAUAGAUUGAAGUAGGCCUAGCUGCAACCAACCAUGAGCAAAACUCAGCUUUGAUGCUCGGAUGUAACAUUUAAAGGCUGAGAUGAGUUAUCAGAAAACAGUUGCAGGUGACGACGAGGACUCAUUUUUUGAGCAUGUGCAGACAUCGAUAUUUAUGACAUGGGUACUGUCAACCACUCUGACAAAGAAAAAACUGUUCUACAUUCUGUCAGUGCUACUCUGCCUAUUCCAGGCGGCCAUGCUGGCAUCAGAUGUUGCGUUUCACUUUCAUCUUAAAAACCAUCGCUUCCCCAGUCACAAGCACACAGAGAGUCUACUGAUUAUCCAGGUUGUGACGUUCUACUGGGCAUUACUAGCUUCAGUGUAUUCCCUUCAGGCAGGGAAUCGCAGAAUGGGCUACUUAUCUUUGGCAUCAGUCUUUCUUAACCUAGGUGUUUUUUCCCUACGGAUCGGUUAUGAGUUCAUCAUGAUGAGGUUCAGAGCAGAGGAAUACUGAGGCGAACUGGCUCUGAGGACUAUUAUAGGCAGUGGAGUCUGCCUGGUCAACUCUCUGAAUCCAUGCAAGUCUAUGAUAUCACUGUCCAGUCACAAUAAACAUCUACACCCAAGGCACUGUACACAUUCUUUUUCCAUGCUCAAGUCAAAAUGAUCAAAUAAAAUGUUUCUGGAUUGAUA